rnacentral:rRNA from 1 species
UACGAGGGGGUGGCAAACGUUGCUCGGAAUCAUUGGGCGUAAAGCGCACGUAGGCGGUUCGUUAUGUCGGAUGUGAAAGGCCCUUGGCUUAACCGAGGAAGUGCAUCCGAAACUGGCGAGCUAGAGUACGAAAGAGGAUCGCGGAAUUCCCGGUGUAGAGGUGAAAUUCGUAGAUAUCGGGAGGAACACCGGUGGCGAAGGCGGCGAUCUGGCCCAAUACUGACACUCAGGUGCGACAGCGUGGGGAGCAAACAGG